AUUGAACGCUGGCGGCAUGCCUUACACAUGCAAGUCGAACGGUAACAGGUCUUCGGAUGCUGACGAGUGGCGAACGGGUGAGUAAUACAUCGGAACGUGCCUAGUAGUGGGGGAUAACUACUCGAAAGAGUGGCUAAUACCGCAUGAGAUCUACGGAUGAAAGCAGGGGAUCGCAAGACCUUGUGCUACUAGAGCGGCCGAUGGCAGAUUAGGUAGUUGGUGGGAUAAAAGCUUACCAAGCCGACGAUCUGUAGCUGGUCUGAGAGGACGAUCAGCCACACUGGGACUGAGACACGGCCCAGACUACUGCGGGAGGCAGCAGUGGGGAAUGUUGGACAAUGGGCGCAAGCCUGAUCCAGCAAUGCCGCGUGCAGGAUGAAGGCCUUCGGGUUGUAAACUGCUUUUGUACGGAACGAAAAGCCCUGGGUUAAUACCCUGGGGUCAUGACGGUACCGUAAGAAUAAGCACCGGCUAACUACGUGCCAGCCGCCGCGGUAAUAC
rnacentral:rRNA from 1 species